ACUCCUACGGGAGGCAGCAGUGGGGAAUAUUGCACAAUGGGCGCAAGCCUGAUGCAGCCAUNCGCCGCGUGUAUGAAGAAGGCCUUCGGGUUGUAAAGCACUUUCAGUAGGGAGGAAGGUAGUGUAGUUAACACCUGCAUUAUUUGACGUUACCUACAGAAGAAGCACCGGCUAACUCCGUGCCAGCAGCCGCGGUAAUACGGAGGGUGCGAGCGUUAAUCGGAA
rnacentral:rRNA from 1 species